UACGUAGGGUGCGAGCGUUAAUCGGAAUUACUGGGCGUAAAGCGUGCGCAGGCGGUUCGUUGUGUCGGCGGUGAAAGCCCCGGGCUCAACCUGGGAAUGGCCGUUGAAACUGGCGAACUGGAGUGUGGCAGAGGGGGGUGGAAUUCCGCGUGUAGCAGUGAAAUGCGUAGAUAUCGGGAGGAAUACCGAUGGCGAAGGCAGGUCUCUGGGCUGACACUGACGCUCAUGCACGAAAGCGUGGGGAGCAAACAGG
rnacentral:rRNA from 1 species